rnacentral:rRNA from 1 species
UACGAAGGGGGCUAGCGUUGUUCGGAAUUACUGGGCGUAAAGCGCACGUAGGCGGAUUGUUAAGUUAGGGGUGAAAUCCCAGGGCUCAACCCUGGAACUGCCUUUAAUACUGGCAAUCUCGAGUCCGAGAGAGGUGAGUGGAAUUCCGAGUGUAGAGGUGAAAUUCGUAGAUAUUCGGAGGAACACCAGUGGCGAAGGCGGCUCACUGGCUCGGUACUGACGCUGAGGCGCGAAAGCGUGGGGAGCAAACAGG